ensembl:lncRNA
CGCGCUGACCCCAUGAGGUAGCAGCCGCUGUCCCCGGCAGGGCCUCCGGCCCGAUGCGGCUAUCUGGCCCUGACAGCUUUCUUGGGUGUUUCCUCGCGCGCCACCGGUCAUCGAUCCAGACACGAACGCGCGGAGCUCCUGCCGCGAGUCUGGCUGCGCCGGAAGAGGCCGGCCCCGGGAGACGUUGGAUCGGAGAGGCGGGGACUGGGACACGUAGGCGAGCAAACAACUGACGUUUUCCGAGACAAAGGAGAAAAGCAAAGGCUCUCAGUCAGCAGCAGAGUGGCGCAGCGGAAGCGUGCUGGGCCCAUAACCCAGAGGUCGAUGGAUCGAAACCAUCCUCUGCUAGUUUGUGUUUUGAGAACUGAAGUUUUAUCUGGAAUCUCUGUGGCUGGACUUCACUUUUAGAAACGUUCUUGGCAUUUUUCUUUUUCCCCUUCUUGUAAGUCCCUCUUCACCCACUUCAGAGAGGCCAGUUUCACUGGGAAGAGAAGAUGACAACCCCACCUUACAUCUAACAGACCAGCCCACCCUACUGAGUAGAAUACAUCCGGACGCGAAGGGCGCCUCGUAGUUUUCUUCCGCUCUGGAGGCUUUUGCUCGAGACUUGGCUACCAGCAGCGGAUCUCUUCCAUCUGUUGCAGUGGGGCCUCCCGCUACUCUCUCCCGUGUUGCUUCCUCUUCCAGUAUUACUGAAUUCACUUCCGGUUCCCGGCCACGAAUUCUGGGGCGAAUUCUCCUCUACCGCACGCUGGCUAUCGUGGCUGGAGACCCUUUCAACCUCUUCUCUCCACACUGCGAGCCCGAUGAGAAAAACAUGAAGCCAGUGGUGGAGAACAUGGGAAUACUUGAAUGCUUUGUGCAUCCGAAUUCCACGGAGAAACUCAGAAAGAAAAUGGAAGUCUAACAGACAUAUGUACAAAGAAGUUAAGAGAACAUUACUAAUCAGAAUACUUUUUGUCAGGCAGGCCUUCAACUCACUAUGUAGCACAGGCUGCCCUCCAACUCACGUGUGAUCCUCCUGCCUCAGCCGCAGAAGUGCUCAACCUCAACCUUACAAGCUUGUGCCACCACACCUGGCUUUGUCUUUAACUUUUGAAGCCAUGUGAAUGUUCUACAUUUUCAAAAGUUAGUAUUCAAUUGACAAAAAACUACUGAAAGCAACCACGGCAAAGGAACUCAGUUCUACUCCACACCUUCAACACAUGAAGAGGAAGCACACGAUCCGUGCUCAGAGUAUAGCACAGUUUGCCUCAUGCUGGGUCGAGGGGUGUGGGUGGGGCUGGAGAACUGUAAACAAAUGCCGACUUCUUUUUAGUGGAUGUUUUUCGGUAAUAGAUGGGCAAAGCAAUCCUGAAACUAUGGCAGGGGCAAUCUAGGGCUGCCAGAGACCCCUGUAGUCAGGUUCCAGUCCCCACCUGCCCAGUGUGUGAUGCAGGCCUGAGAAAAAGAAUACACUGAGACAGAACUAGGAGAGAGAGCGGGCGCCAGGACGACCGGGUGCCGUGCGACCGACAAAGGCCCUGGCCCGUCCCAGGCACUGACUUUUACUGGUAAUCAAAUGGGGUAAAGGUGGCUGUGGUUUCUAUGGGAA